GAGAACUGGCGUUCGCAACAGAACAAUGUCACAACCGCUCCUUCGGCGGCGGCUGCAGGUGCUGCGAAUGUGAAGAACCACUUCAUUAUAAGGUUGUUGUACGUCGGAGAUUUAAACCCUGUUAUCAACGAGAGGCACCGCCACUAUUUGUUCAUCCAGGUCCAACAACGGGUUUCAAUUCAACCAGGAACAAGAAGAAAUUACGAUGGUGGCCAAUGGAAGCUUGAUGGAAGAAGGAGAAGAGGGUGGCGAUGAUGGAAACUGAUGGAAACUCAGUUUACUUAGUCCAGUCAGAUGCAAUUGAAUAUGAAUCAUAUAAAAAGCUCCCCAUAGUACUGUACCCAAAUAGAGCAGCCCUUAUUCUAUAACAUAUAGAGAAGAAAGAAUAAUUUGGUUUUGGACAUUCUAUAACAGAUAUGUUUGGGGUAAUGAAGAUCAUCAAGUAAUGCAAAAAAAAAUCUAUAAGAAAAUUUUUUUAAUGUUUUUU